rnacentral:tRNA from 4 species
UCGGGAUAGCUCAGCUGGUAGAGCAGA